rnacentral:rRNA from 1 species
GUGCCUUCGGGAACUUAGAUACAGGUGCUGCAUGGCUGUCGUCAGCUCGUGUCGUGAGAUGUUGGGUUAAGUCCGCAACGAGCGCAACCCUUUUCCUUAUUUGCCAGCGGGUAAUGCCGGGAACUUUAAGGAUACUGCCAGUGACAAACUGGAGGAAGGCGGGGACGACGUCAAGUCAUCAUGGCCCUUACGGCCAGGGCUACACACGUGCUACAAUGGUCGGUACAAAGGGUUGCUACCUCGCGAGAGGAUGCUAAUCUCAAAAAGCCGAUCGUAGUCCGGAUCGCAGUCUGCAACUCGACUGCGUGAAGUCGGAAUCGCUAGUAAUCGCGGAUCAGAAUGCCGCGGUGAAUACGUUCCCGGGCCUUGUACACACCGCCCGUCACACCAUGGGAGUUUGUUGCACCAGAAGUAGGUAGUCUAACCGCAAGGAGGACGCUUACCACGGUGUGGCCGAUGACUGGGGUGAAGUCGUAACAAGGUAGGCGUAGAUGA